GUGAACCCGGGCUGCAGUUCAGACGCGGCCGCACGGCCUCGUCCCUGGGUGCUAUUUACCGCUUUUAAUGACGACAGGGUAAUCACCCUAAUGAAAAACGCCCUCGGGGCUCAGGGCAGCCAGACUGCUAUGAGGAAACCGGGAGGCAUCUCGGAGCCGCCGGUGAGUCACAGUGAGUAUGCAGCGCUGGGCGCGAAGGACUCCCGGGUGCCCUCCCAGCCGCGCGCCACUCCCGCGCCGCCCCUGGAAGGCGGAGAGCGCGAAUGCGUGCUGCAGGGCCGCAGGGUCUAUGCCCCGGGCACCCCGACCCACCCUGGGAAACCCGGGGCACACCAGCCAAGCCUCCUGCAGACCCGACUUCUCCACUGCAACUUUUAAUCAGGCCUGCAAGGGGCUCCAGCACUACCUUCCUCCCUACUCAUGACCUGGGCUCUCCAGGGGCCUGGAUUUUGAAGGGGCCACUCUCUGGUGUGUUCAAGACACCCCUGAAGAUUCUAAGCUCUGCUGGGCUUCACAUUCGCUCUCCUAAGGACCAUUUUUCUGCCAGUGCCUCAGUUUCCCCAACUGCAUACCAGUAGCAUAAGAUUCUCCCCACCACCCUCUGCACCCUGCCCCCGGAUGGCAAGAGUAUUCACUACAGUUUGUUCCUGGCUUUGAAGAUGAAAAAUACAGGAGCUGUUACCACUGGAGUUUAGGUCUGAUUAAUCUGCCCCCUGCUCCCUGCCUUGGAGCCAUGUUGCCCCCUGACACCCCUUCCUUGGACUCCUGCAGGUUCCUUCUUUCUCCUGGAUUUCAUACCUGGAGUUAGCCCCUUUCCUGUUCCUGCCAGUACUCUCGGGUCCUGGAAGAGUAUCUGCCACAUUCAGUCUUCAACAAGUAUUGUUGAGCUCCCCGCCAGAGCCAGGGGCUAAAUGCUGAGGCAGGGCAGUGAAGGUCACAGACCCAAGCCCUUGCCUUCCUGGAGCUCACCUUCUGGUAGAUGCCCAAAUGUCUAAGUGGGAUCCAGUGUAUGUCCAGGGCUUCCUUCUGCCUUCCACCUCUCUCUCCAGGAUUCCUCGUUCAGACAACAAACAAUGGGCAGGCCUAGGCCAGGCACCACAGUCCUGGGUGGACAAUGCUAAUGGGUUCUAGGGGAAAUGAUCACAGCGCCUUACAUGGAACACCCCCCACCCUUCCUCUCCUCUGGACCCUUCUAAUGGCCUCAGCACCUCCUCAAGGUCUUGGUCACACGCCCCCUCUUCUAUAGGGCCUUCCCCUCGCCCUGAACAUCUCUCUCCUCCAAGCCUGCAGUGGCCCUUACCAAUUGGAACUUCCUGCUUGUACCUCCUCUGGACGUGUAUCAUGUCUUAUAUGUGAUAUUUCCACUGAGCCUCAUUCCACACUUCUCAUUAAACUGCCUGCUCCCUGACAGCAGAAUCCAAGUCUCAAGUUUGUUUCCUUCCACCAAGAAUGCACGGAAGUUCUCCAUAGAUGUUGCCAUCAUUGAAAUGAGAGAGCUAAGGCCUAGACCCAGGAACCCCGCACCCAUUGCAAAAUGGAAUUCUGGUGGCCAAGAGGCCCCCCAUCCUGUGCUGUGAGGGUUAUGAGAGUCGGGGGGCACGGGGAUAGAAGUAAAAGGACCAGGUGGGAAGGACAAAGUGGAUUAGACCCCUACUCCAAUCAAUCAUCCUUCAGAAUCACCAACUAGGACACUUGAAUUGGGUCCACAAGUUCUUACUGAGUACUGCCUGGGGCCGGGCACAGUGCUAGGCACUGGGGAGACAAAGAUGAGUGAGAUUCAGUCCCUGCCAUCAGGGAGCUUGGAUACCAACUCUUGUCUUCAGUAACUUUCUGGAUGACCCUAGGCCAAGUAAUUCUGAGCAACCCAAAUAAUUCUCAGCAUCUGAGAGAGAUCACGCCCCUCUUCCUUCGUCUAUGCACUGUGAGCCCUGGCAGGGAAGCCCACGCCAUCAGUCAGAGCUUCCUAGCCAACGUGCAGCCCUCCAGUGGGUUCCAGUUGGGCCAAUAUUGGCCUCAGGGGCCAGAGGCAGCCUUGGUUCUUUACUGCAGUGGCUGUGAAAAGUUUCAUUUUCUAUGAGAACUACAGCAUGACAAGGGUCGGGAAGCCCUGCCUAAGCCAUCUGGUGAAAGAGGAUGCAAAUGCCACCAAGGAGCUCCAAUUCUGGGCCCCAAAGAGUCAUUAACUGCUGUUCCCUGGAUCCCAGAGUUUUGACUGCACAGAACAGCAAAGAAGAAACCAAAAGUCGGGCUCCAUCCAAUUCCUCACCUGGGUGGAUGAGGCCGGCACCUGAUUGUUUUAGGCUGAGGAGGCUCCUGAGGCUGAGAGCUGAUAAGAGACAUUGAUCUAGGGUUUGCAACUCUCUCUGGUUUCCUGAAGCUGUUUCUCACAGGGCAGGGAGAAGAGGAGUCUGCCAGCCUUUGGACUCAGCAUCUGUCUCAUGGGCAAAGCCUUUAUCCAGCAAGAAGCCAGCUGUGUGACAAGCAAUGGAGCCACAAUGGGGACAAAGGAUGGAGUUAAGAGCAUUCAUUUUAAAGUCACACCAGACAAAUUCAACUGUCAGACCAGCCAGGUAGCCUCCAGUAAGCUACUUGGACUCUUAAGACAUGAAAGGGCAGCCCUAAAGCCUUCCUCUCACAGGAUUGUUGUAAAGAAAAUUAUGGCCUGAAACGGUGGCUCAUCCCUAUAAUCCCAGCACUUUGGGAAGCUGAGGCAGGAGUAUCACUUGAGGCGAGGAGUUGGAGACCAGCCUGGGCAAGACUGAUAUCAAGACCCCAUCUCUACUAAAAAAAAAACAAGUUUUUAAUUAGUUGGACAUAGUGACGCCCACCUGUAGUCCAGGCUACUCAGGAGGCUAAGGCAGGAGGAUUGCUUGAGCCAAGGAGAUUAAGGCUGUAGUGAGCCAUGAUCAUGCCAUUGCACUCCAGCCUGGACAACAGAACAAGCCACUAUUUAAAAAAGAAAGAGAGAGAGAGAGAGAGAAGAAAGAAAGAACGAAGGAAGGAAGGAAGGAAGGAAGGAAGGAAGGAAGGAAGGAAGGAAGGAGAAAGAAAGAAAGAAAGAAAAAGGAAGGAAGGAAAGAAGGAAGGGAGAAAGAAAAAGAAAGAAAGAAGAAGGAAGGAAGGGAGAAAGAAAGAAGGAAGGAAGGAAGAGAGAAAGAAAGGAAGAGAGAAAGAAAGAAAGAAAAGGAAGGAAGGAAGGGAGAAAGAAAGAAAAGAAAGGAAGGAAGGGAGAAAGAAAGAAGGAAGGAAGGAAGGCAGGCAGGCAGGAAGGAAGGAAGGGAGAGAGAAGAAAGAAAGAAAGAAAGGGAGGGAGAAAGAAAGAAAGGGAGAAAAAGAAGAAAGAAAACAAGAAAGAAAGAGAGAAAGAAAGAAAGAGAAAGAAGGGAGGGAGGGAGAAAGAAAGAAAUAAAGAAAGGAAGGAAGGGAGGGAGGGAGAAAGAAAGAAAACAAGAAAGAGAGAGAGAGAAAGAAAGAAAAAGAAAGAAAGAAGAAAGAAAAGAAAGAGAAAGAAAGAAAGAAAGAAAGAAAGAAAGAAAGAAAGAAAGAAAGAAAGAAAGAAAGAAAGAAAAAACGAAAACUGAAGAAAACGAAAUGUGUCCACAAGGCCUGGCCAAGGCAGGCAUCAGAUAUCAGUCGCCCCAUCUUCCAUGGCUACAGCCCGGAAGCUCCUGCAGCUCCUGCAGCUCCCGGGACUGGGCUCAGCUCCGACUCCACCAGGAGCACCAGCUUCAAGGUCUUCAUGAACCAUGUGGGAAUCUGUGGGGCUGCCAACAGCAUUCUCUUCAUAAAACUUCUAGGCAAAACCCGCCUAGCCCCUGAGCUGGCUGUCAUUAUCCAAGAAAUGACAAUGACCUCUAGAACGCCAGGCAGGACUGGCCAGGAGGAUUCCACUGUGACUUGUCCAUCACCUAUGAAGCCCUGUGGCACACCCCAAAAUGGAAAGCAACUGAGGACCCUCAAGAGAACUGCCAUUCAGGAGCAGUCCCACCAGGGUGGGUUCUGUACACAGGUGCUUGGUGUGAUUGGAAGAACCCAGACACUCUCUGCACACAAAGUCUCCCACUCCUUGACUCUGAUAUGCCACAACCAGAUGUCAUCUCACCAGCAUUCAUGAGCACCUACCACUUUCCAGGCACCAUGCUGAGUAUUGGGCUUGAUUCUUCUGGGUUAUAUAUUACCACCCCUAAGCGUUUUCUUUUAAAAUGCAAACACCCUCUGAGAAGGGCAAUGCAUUAAUUAGAUUGCUCCCACCGCAGAUUGAAUUAAUUCAGGGUAUGGGGAGUUCUUUAUUGUAAGAUAUCAGAGAAGGACUAGAUAUCUUUAGCAAACAGGGCAGCUAAAGUUCAGAGGGCAGAGGUGACUAUAGAACAAAGGACGAAGACAGCUGUAACUUUGCAUUUUUCUACAGUGGAUUUCAGGGGCCACAUCUCCUCCCUCCUUUGUCCUUAAGACAAACACACCCAUGCCCAUGACAAGCAGCAGCAGUCCCCAUAAGUGCAGCUGAUGAGUGGGACUCCAUAGGAGAGAACAGCCAGGGGAUGGCAGCCCUGGCUCUGCUGCAGAGGAGCCGGCCUGCCUUUCACCAUCUCCAGAUGAGGACGCCUGAACCAGUGCCUACUCGCUCCCCAGCAAGUUCAGGGCUUAGAGUUCAGGUAAUUAGGCCCUUGGCAAUCUCACCUGAGCCCGCCAAUAAAACAGACAAACACCUUCAGCUCCUGUUCAGGAGGGAGAGAGGAAACCAGGAGGGAGGAAGGGAAGGAGGAAAACUUUUUUCUAUUCUAAGGCUUGGCAACCCCAAGGGAGAAUUCAUUUACAAAGCAGCCACUCCAACACCCCACUCCUGUUCCACACCCAGGGUUGUCCCCUCCUGCCACAGAACCCUGGACUCCAUCUGCCACCAUCAUCGAGGGUGACAGGGGACAUCUGUGCGGACUGCAACCUGAACAGGCACUGGGCACUGAGGGCCUAACCUUGUAGGGCAGGCGUUCGCCAGCAUGGUUCCUUCCAGCAGAGGAAAGAAGGCUCCCUCCCACUCCAGGAGCCACAUCACCCCCAAAAAAUGUCUGAAAGGCUGCUCCAGAGUGUUAGAGAGCAACUGAGUGACUUCUUUGAACCCUGCCUUGUGUCACCACCAGCUGUUGAGGGCUCAGCUCAGUUCGUGUCUGGGCUCCUUCAGACCGGGGACCAUUCCUUAACCAUCCCUAGAUUGGGACAGUGCCCAGGAGAUACUAGGCACACAGAUAGGAAUUUCCUUUCCCCCUAAAUAAUCAACAUUAUUAAUACUUCUUGCAUAUGA